UGCUGACUUCAGCAGCAAUAUACUAAAAUUGGAAUGAUACAGAGAAGAUUAGCAUGGCCCCUGCGCAAGGAUGACUCACAAAUUCAUGAAAUUUCCAUGUUUUU
rnacentral:snRNA from 1 species